UAAAGCUAAAUAAAGNCACGAGACCGAUAGCGANCAAGUNCCGUGAGGGAAAGGUGAAAAGUACUUUGAAAAGAGAGUCAAAGAGNCCGNGAAACCGUUAGGAGGGAAACGAAUGCAGCCCGAUGGGCUUCGGUCGGGUUCAGGGGCGGUGGUGCCGUCGGAGCGGGCGGGCGGACCCGUGAGGGUCGCCUUUCAGUUCUCGAGCGGUCCAUCGCCCUGCACUCCCGGUCGAUAGCCGGCCAACGUCGGUCCGGUUCGGCUCACGCGGAUGGUCGGGCAGGUGCCUCAAUGCGCCGCUUCGGCGUGCGCAGGGAGAACUUACAGCCGAUUGUUCGGCAGUCGGACGUUGCGGACCGAGGAGAUGUGUGACGCUUCACACCGGCAGUGCAGGCUCGCCGUUCUCGCGGUGGGCCGGGUCUCUUCUGAUCGUUGGGUAGGCGCUACUGGGACUGCCCGUCAGUGCCAGUCGACGUCCCGUCCCCUCGGUCGGGAGGUUGGUCACGCCUUGCGCUGUAGUCGCUGGCUGAAGNNNNNNNNNNNNNNNCCCGUCUUGAAACACGGACCAAGGAGUGCAACACGCGUGCGAGUCUGUGGGUGUGUCAGACCCGUCGGCGCAAUGAGAGUAAAGGCGGACGCCUGGUCCGCCGAGGCAGGAGCCGUCCCAAACGGUCGGCCCACUGUUGACCGAUCCCGUUCCACGCUGUGGUGGGAUUCGAGUGAGAGCGUGCCUGUUGCGACCCGAAAGAUGGUGAACUAUGCCUGAAUAGGGCGAAGCCAGAGGAAACUCUGGUGGAAGCUCGCAGCGGUUCUGACGUGCAAAUCGAUCGUCAAAUUUGGGUAUAGGGGCGAAAGACUAAUCGAACCAUCUAGUAGCUGGUUCCCUCCGAAGUUUCCCUCAGGAUAGCUGGAGCCCGGAGCAGUUUUAUCAGGUAAAGCGAAUGAUUAGAGGUCUUGGGGUUGAAACAACCUCAACCUAUUCUCAAACUUUAAAUGGGUAAGAAGUCCGGCUUGCUCGGUUGAAGUCGGACGGUGGAAUGCUGGGGCUCCCAGUGGGCCAUUUUUGGUAAGCAGAACUGGCGAUGCGGGAUGAACCGAACGCCGGGUUAAGGUGCCCGAAUCGACGCUCAUCAGAUCCCAUGAAAGGUGUUGGUUGAUCUAGACAGCAGGACGGUGGCCAUGGAAGUCGGAAUCCGCUAA
rnacentral:rRNA from 1 species